CACCAUACCCUCCAGGAGCGGCCACCGUAGCACUGGAGGAACCCACGGAUGAGUGUGGGAGAAUGGGGCAUAUAAAGGACUCAGCCUGGCUGCUCUGGAUUUCCUCUGGCUCCUUCUCUCCUUGUGUGACAACCUGACAUACUGUGCGUGCAGAGGCCUGAAAUGAAGUGUUGAAGGGGGACGCUUCAAAACAUGCUCCCUGAUAUACAAGAUUGGAGGAGAGGAGCUAGUGGCACAGACACUGGAAAAAUACCAGUACCUCUUCACCCAUGACCUGCAUUUGUCACAUUCCUGCUGCACUGAAGGACACCUAGCUGAGCUGUCCAGCCUGAAAUGUUUACUAUGGAGCACAGAUCCUAACAACAGUCACCCGUGACACUGUGGGUCACAUUUCUGGCAACAUUUAUACCCCUCUAACUACCCUGGCGGAGCAACAAUGGACUGUUGUCAAAGGCCAAAACAACCUAAUGAGGCCAGACCUUUCCUUGCUUUUAUGGAAAUGAUUAGUAGACAAUUAGCUCAGUCUGGUGUGACAGUGAUUAAAUGUGACUUUGCCUCUCAUUUAGCCAAAUUAAUCAUUUAAUAAGUAGUGAACACAAGCUAAUCCCUGAUGGCAGACCAGUUUCCAAUAAUUUGAACAGUGAUUAUAAUUUAGUCGGAAAGAUAAUGAUAAUCACGAUGGCCUGGAUUUCUGUUAUUUUAAAGCAGAAAACAAUGAUCCUUUUAUUUGCCAAGCUUCAAGUGUCCAUAGAUACGUUAUUUAUUAGAAAAGGUGUAACACUUGAUUUAGAAGAAAUAGCUUGCCAUUUUGGGAAAGGCUUAUUAGCUUAGCUUAGGUAUAUUAGAAGACGGAUACCACUUUCACAUCUGUCUGCUAAAUAUAAAACUACAGGAGACAGUUAGCUAAGCUUAGUAUAAAGACUUGAGACAGGGGAGAACAGCUAGCCUACCUAAAUCUACAUAACAGGACCUUUAAAGCUCACUAUUAACACAUUAUAUCUCACGUCUUUUACCCAUGUUAGCUGUUUGCUCCCAGUCUUUCUGCUAAACUAAGCUAACCAGCUGCUGGUUCGAGCUAUAUUAAUAACAGACAGAUAUGAGAGUAAUAAGGAAGCAAAUAAGUGUAUUUUCCAAAAUGUCAAAAAAAAUCCCUUUAAUUGUUCACCAACCUGCAAACCUUGAAAAAGGCAAUAGGCUGAUAGAGUUGGGUAAACAGUGGCUUUCCCCUGAGGUAACCCUAUCAUCUGUUCCUCUUAUCUCCUUUAUUAAACACAACUCGUUCCAGUUACACAUAAUUACACAUUUGCACGAUGAUCAUUCUUCUUGGGAAGUCUCGGGAAGUUUAAUUCAUUGAGGGACUUUCUCAGGACCAGCCAUGGCCAUCUCCUUCUCUCUCCCCUAAUUACUUCAUUCGUGCUCUCCUUGAGGCUACGCUCUAAUUAUCCUGCUGCUUGAGUGCCUCAUUCCUGUUACAAUGCUCCUGUGCAUCACUGUCUCUAACUUCGCGCCCUACAAAAUCUUUCUUCUCUUGCAGCAGGCCUUCUUUUGUGUUUGCUGAUCUCAUGUUUUCCCAAGACCAGGCUUUCACCAUCUCCAGGCCUUUCCAAGUCCUCAACGUUGUGCAGUGUCACCUUUAUGAGACAACAUUUCCUUUUGGUUGGAUCUAACACUGCUCCAUACUUAUUUUCUAUGUACUAACCAUAUUGUAGGUGAAUUCCCUUUAUAUCUUUCAGUAAACUGCAAUCGGUAAACUGCUUACAAACCAUUCUUUCAUAACGAUAGUGAAGGACGGUUUUAUAACCAAGUAAUUUAUGGCUGUUACAUCAUUGUUCCUGUGACAGGUGAGAGGAACAGAUUCUUUCCCUGCUUUAAAAUCAGCACAUUGUAAAUAGUGGUUUAACAACAGAGACCCUCCAAUAAAACAGUAAUGCCCCAAGUCUGACCUUUUAAAAAUAAAUGAAUAAAAUAGACUGUUUAUGACUAUUUUUAGCUACUAAACACUGAUACCCUUACAACUGCUUUGGCAAAGCGACAUGUGAAGUCAGUGUUAGUCAUUGUUAGUGUUUGUGUCCUUGUGUGUGUGUGUGUGUGUGUGUGUGUUUGUGUGUGAGAAAUGAAUGAAACCCCCGACAUGUACACUAACACACACACACACACACACACACACACUAUAAAGGGUUUAAUUUGUCAUUACAAGUACAAUAAACAGAAGAAGAUGAGGCCACAAACGAUUAAAAUGAUGUCAUGUACUUUUACUCUUUUUAAGCCAUUAUGUAACACUUAACAUCCACAUACCUGUUCUUCUGGUGCCUUGUAAAUCUACUAAGCAACAGGGGGAAUAUUAUUGGACUAUUGCAUGUGUGUGGGAGUUGCUAUAUUUUCAUUUGUGCUGAGAUAGGAGAUCUUAAUAUGUUUUAUUUUAUUUUGAACAAACAUAUUUCAGGGCAGGUUUAUUCUAUUGAAACUACUUUAUAUAAAUAAAUAAAGGGGAGCAAUGUAACUAAAAUAUGUGUCUUGUGUGUCACAUGUCAACUGAUUGACCAAGAAGCAGUUGGAUGGGACAUUCUUUCAAAGAUUGUGUUGUGUCCUUGUGUGUGCGUGUAUGAGUGUGUGUGUGUGUGUGUGUGUGU